GCCAGUGUGGAAUAAUGGUUUGAAUGUUGGACUAUGACUCUGGAGACCAGAGUUCAAUUCCCUGCUCAGCCA